CUGAUGAGUUGGUUUAGACCAAUUAACCCACCUGUUGAGGUGAGUCAAUGCCUUCUCUUUGUUUUGCUUGAUGACCAAUAGGAAACUUCUCCACUCAUCCAUCACGAAUGUCUUUCUUUGCAUUAUUUCACCAUGUAAUCGACUUCAUUGCAGUAUUUUCUUCAAUUGCAUAAUAGCUCAGACUGUUUUUCACCUCGGUAUACUUUACCUCGCCAACUUCAGCCACAGAGCAAUUAGAGCUGGAGGGGAGUGGGACCUCCCAAGAAAAAUUAAUCAGGAUGUCUUACAUCUCCAAGUUUUGUCCUGACUCUUCAAGUUUAUGGUCUUCCAACCGAGUUGGCAGCAGAUCAAAAAAACAGACGGAUGUUCUCUUGUGCCACAACACCUACCUGAGAGCUCUCAGCAAGCGCUAUCAUGCAGACAACGCCUGGAUAUACCACUCAGCAACGUCUGCGACCCCUCGUCACCACGGACAGAUUACGGGACCAUGACCUUUCAAGAGAUUCCUGCUACAGAAGAUUCAAACCACUACAGAAUACUGCGCAGAAUAUUUUAGGAGACCAUCAACUGAAGUGGGAUUUGCACAUCCCUACCUACAGGACCCAUCUUUUUGCAACAAAAAAUGUUAAUAUAAGUAAAUUCAAACAGGAGCUUUGGCAUUAAGGACCCCCUGACUCCUGUGGCCCUUGGGUCUGUGCCUGCUGGGCCCAUUUGGUAAUCUGUCCAUGUUCGUCACAGGUUGUGUAGCCCCAUUUGGACGGGAUUAAUAUUAAUGAUCGUUGCAGGGUGUUGUAGCAGAAGGACAAGCAGCCCUUCCAGUGGAAAGAUCUACCUCAAAGAUGUACUUUAAAAUACAGGGACGAUGCUCCAGAUGGGAUUUAAAUGACCGGUAGAUCAUUUCUGCUGUAAUCAAUUCUGGGGAGGGUGAAUUUGAGGCACAGAUGCUAGUUGUCUAUUUCUGUGAAAACACACAAAGCGCUGAUACCUAGACCUCCUUUACAGCUGACAAAGGCAGCUAAUUGCAAUUGAAUAUGACCCAGCUUUUAUGUAGUGUUUUCAAUGGUAAUUUAGUAGCUUCAAAGUCAAUCCUUUUUAUUGUGGUGCUUCCAUUUCGCUGUGUAGUCCCUUUGGAAACAUUAUCACCUGCUUACUGUGUGAUUGCGUGUUGCUACUGAGGGCAGCGCCUAUAAACCUCUACCACUAAUGUGUGUGAGUAAACCAGGAAAUUUAAGUAGAUUUGUUAGAGAACUGUGCAGUCUAGUGGUGAAGCAAUAAGUCAGUUAAUCAGAAAAUCAAUUAAUCCUUUAGGUCAUUUCUCUGGCUUCUCAAAAACGUUGAGAUUUGCUGCAUUUCUCUGUCUUAUAUAAUAGUAUUUGAAUAUAUUCGAGUUUUGGCAGUUUAAAGAUGUCACAAUUUUCUAUUCAUUUUUAUUGACUAAACGACUGACAACUGUUAGCUGAAAUAAUCUCUGUUGCAGCCCUGAGGCAGUCCUUGCUUCAGCUUCUGUCACAAAACCCCCAGAAGAUAAAACAAUCAUGUCCAAUUAAAAGAUACCAUAACUUAACAACACAAAAAAAAUAAUGAUAUUCUGUGUUCUUUUUUCUUGACAAGCUAAUAGGGAUUUUGACGGAGAAUUGGCAGUAGCUGGUAUGUCCCAUAUUGUAACUACUAGAAAGCUUAGAAGUGCUGGCUCAUGAGAUUCAGGCUUGAUUCCACAAAAGCAAUUUGCACCUAUUGGUGAAGAUGAAUACAGUUAAUGUAAAUGAAGAAACCGCCCUGCAAAGCACUUGAGCCGAAGCCCUUCCUAUCUAGUGCCCUUCUCUACAAAUGCACUCUGCUGUGCCAAUGGUGGACCUAUUUCAAUGUCACAUUAAAAUAUCAUUCCUGAUCCAAUAGUCUCAUUGCCUGCAGUAAGUACUCAUCUAAAACAAUGGGCUAAUGCGUCAGAUGCACUCUGCUGUUAGUCAAUUCGUCUCCAACAAUGUCCUCUUAGCAUUUAGUAUUAGCACACUUGAUAGGGACACAAUGCAAGGUUUGACUGAGCUCAGUAAAAUAAAAAAUAAAAAAGGUGGUUAACAAAUGGCACAAGGAGAUGCAGAAAGGCAGUAAAAAGCAGGAGAUUAGGGGGGAAAAGCCAAUGAGAGAUGGGAGAGAGAAUAAGAGAGGCAGAUAAGGGAUAAUGAGGUGUUCGCAGCAGGAGUGAUAGAGAAUAUAAAGGAAAAAGGUGCAAAUAAUGGGCAAGUGGAAUUUGGGGAAGAGACAAGAGGAGAUAAAGGUGAAAAAAGGACCAGAGGAAGGUUGUGGUAUCUGGCCAGGCUCAGCAAAACAGGGGCUAAAAAUGUGAGCUGGGAUAGAGAGGCGCCACGCUGAGGGCGAAACAGGAUUGUCAGAAAAGUGCGACAUCGAUGGAGCCAUCGGCCUUUGAGUGACAGGAUGGUGUGAGGGCGCACUGAGGGCAGCUCGAGGGACCACGAGGACCAGCACUGAAGCAAUAUGGGAGCAAGAAAUGUUGCAGAAUGCCUGAACAAGUGUUUUGAACAGCAUUAUUAUCCUGAUAGAGUUGAAAUUUAGCUUUGCUUAUUAUAGUCUGGAAAAGAAGCAUUUUCUUCAGCUAGAGGCAACAUCAAUCAGUAAAAUAACAAAUGAAGUUGUCAGCACUCACAAAUAAGUGUAUAUCACUUUUUUAAUGAUGCAGAGAGAUGAGAUGAGAGAUUUCCUGUUGCCAGACACUUUAAUUCUGCAGGUCUACACUUCAUGGGUAUCGAGACUGUAAGGCCACUGUUGAGGGAAGGUGAAAGGAAGAGGAAACAUCUCCAAAGAGAGACAUAUUAGAUUCACUACUUACAAAGCAAGUAUCCUAGAGGUUUAAACAAAGAAUUGCUGUUGUCUUGUUUCUUAUGAAUAUGUGUAUUAUUGAUAUAUACGCAUUUGUAUAUAUUCUAUGGAGGUUUUGCAUAUGAUUGGUUUUAUUGUUUGUGUGUAAAUCUAGCAGUCGUUUAUCUGGCUUUUACAAUCACAUAUGUGAUAUAGUGCAUAGAUCUAUGACUCAUCUGGCUGUUUCUUACUAAUAUUUAUCUCUUGACGAUGAUUUGUAUUUUUGUACAUGCAUUUGUAGGCUAUUUUUUAUGGAGAUUCUGCACAUAAUGAGGUUACAUAUGUAGACCCACAUACAUGCAAUUUUUAUCAUUAGUGUGUAAAUUCAAUUCAAGUCACCAUGCAAUCACAUAUUGUGAUAUAUCUCCUCUGAUGGCUUAAAUUGCUUGGAAUUUUCUUAUUUUUCUUAUUAUUAGUGCUGUUUUUUUGAUGAUUUGUAUCUGUUUGUGCCUGUUUGAAUGAUUUGUAUCAGCUGGUUGUAAUCACCAGCAGGUUCCUGGCUGCUGUUUGAUAGGGGUCACACUGACUAAUGUUUCAGUAACACUGAGGAAAGCCUAGGGCUGAAACAUGUUUUUUUUUUGCUGCUGUGCAUCAUUAAAAAAGUGACAUACACUUA